rnacentral:rRNA from 1 species
GACGAACGCUAGCGGCGUGCCUAAGGUAUGCAAGUCGAACGGGGGCUUCGGCCCAGUGGCGCACGGUCGAGUAACACGUAGACAACCUGCCUUCCAGUGGGGGACAACUCCGGGAAACUGGGGCUAAUACCGCAUGGGGCGCUUGGGGGAAUCCCCAGGAUGCUAAAGCUCGCAAGGGCGCUGGGAGAUGGGUCUGCGGCCUAUCAGCUAGCUGGUGAGGUAACGGCUCACCAGGGGCGACGACGGGUAGCGGGUCUGAGAGGAUGAUCCGCCGGACGGGGACUGAGACACGGCCCCGACUCCUUCGGGAGGCAGCAAUGAGGAAUAUUNCGCAAUGGGCGAAAGCCUGACGCAGCGACGCCGCGUGGUGAGAAGUCCU